rnacentral:lncRNA from 1 species
UGAAUAAACUCUCAGCUGAAACAGGAAGCCCUGGGACUAGAUCUUUCACCUUCCUUUGAUUGUCAUUUUCCAAUUGUUUUCAUUUUUCAGUGACGCCAGCCCACUUGUUCAUUGAUGUUCCAUUUUGGCCUUGACUGUGCCAGAUCCACCCAGAGAAGUCAGAAGCCAAGAAUAAAUUGGGCCUAAAUUAAGAGUGGGCUUUCCCUGAGGCGUCCUUAUACGUAAGGUCCUGAGCAAAUUAACGCUGGAAACAGAAGCUUGCAGAGCUGGGAAUAACAAUACCUGUUAUGACCUGAAUUAAAUCAACCUCCUCGGAAGUCUCGCUUCUCCUGGGUUGGUGCUACUUCGUGAUGCUGAAGGCAGAUCUGCCUUUGAGCCACGGUACCUUCUACGAUGUUCUCCACACUGUACCUUGUGCUUGAGAAGACCUUCUUGAAGAGACCCUUACGAGCAUGGAUUUCAGGGGAGUU